rnacentral:lncRNA from 1 species
GUACUGUUCACAUCAUAAACUAUAAAUAAAAUCCAAAAAGAUACGAGACUUAAAGUUAUAAAAUGAAAUCAUAGAAAUUCUAUAAGAAAACAAGUUAGUAGAUUUUAUAUUCUAGCAGUGAGAUAAGCUUACCUAAUAAUGACUGAAAAUUCAGUAGCAAAAAGGGACAAAUAACUGACAAAAUUUGCUACAUAAAUACAAAUGACUUUCCAUAUAGCAAAUAUUAAAAAAUAAAUGAUAAACUGGAAAAUAUUUGCAACAUAAAUUAUAAAGUGUUAAAUCUCAGGCCAGGGAUUUAGCUCAGUGGUUUCACUGCCUGCCUUGCAAGCGCAAGGACCCGAGUUCGAUCCCUGGUACCAAAAAGUGUUAAAUCUCUAAUAUAUGAAAAGUUCCUUAAAAUAAAAAAUAAAAAAAGCUGGGCGUGAUAGGACACAACUGUAGUCUCAGCAUUCUGGAGCCUGAGGCAGGAAGGUUGUGAGUUCAAGGCCAGCCCGGGCUACAUAGUCAGAUGCUGUCUCAAAACAAAGAAAUUAAGAGGAAAAAUCAAGUAUCACUCCACAGAAAAGAACAAGGAGAGCAGUCAGGAUGGCCGAGGGGUCUAAGGUGCUGCAUUCAGAAAAGGAGAAGGAAAAGGUAAGGCUAAUUUUUCUUUUAAAAAUGAAAAGAUACACAUAGGAAAGCAAAUACAAAAUUAUAACUACACCAAAAUACUAUUUCUUGUUGAUCAUAUCAACAAAAGUACAAUUACUUCACAGGAUGCUUUUUAGGAAAAGGAGUGUUCUCAUAUGUUUGUAUUCCUGGUAGGAAUGUAAAAUAGUAGGACCGCUGUGAAGAGGAAUUUGUUACAGUCUAGCAAAAGCACAUCAGCACUUAUCUUUUGACCAGCAAUCCCACUAUUAAGAAUUGAUCCUAAAGGUAAAAUAUAAUCUGACAUAUACUCAGGACUAUCCAUUCCAGCACCCCUUGUAAUAACGUGAGUAUCUAUCAAUAAGAGCCUGGCUGGAGUAGUAGAUAGCUGUGAAAAGGGAUACUCCAGUGUAGAGUAUUAGACAGCUGCAAAAAGGGAUUCUGAAGAAGUUCAAUUAUAUGUCUAUAGAAUGAUCUGUAUAAUAUAUUUAAUGAGUGGGGGGGAAGCAAGGUACAGAAGAAAGUGUGUAUUAGAUUUCCUUUAUCCUAAGAGAGGGAUGAGUUAUAAAUAAUAUGUAUUGAGCUAUAUUUUUUUAAUGAAAUGCUAAAUAAAGGCUAACAAAAAUCACUGCCCAUAUAAACUGAAGGGAACUGUAUGGAAAGGAUGGAGAUGGAAGGUAGAGUUCUCUAAAUAUAGCUUGUGCUAAAGGCCCCAGAAACCAAUCUGUGAAUACCAUGUGGGGACUUCCACUGGCCACAGAUGAAACAAUUUGAGCAUCAAGAAGAGUAAAGACUUUAACAUAGCAAAUACACUAAAACAUGAAUUCGUAAUAGUACAAAUUCAAGCACCUGAAACAUGCUAAAUACAUUAAAACUCAUAGAUUCAUAUAUUUUUUAAAUGUCUUGAUCAUCUUUAGAGAUUCCUCAGAUACCAAAUCUUUAAGUAGAAAUUUGAAACACAUCAUUAAAGCAAGCAUGAAAUAAAAACAGCUCUGAGCACAGAGAUGUUCAUCACUUGCUGGUAUUCUUUGGAUAAGUGUACCAAAAGGCCCAGGUGUCAGAGCUGUGUGUCCCCAGCCCAUGGUACUAUUGAGAGGUGAUGGAACCUUUAAGAGAUGGGGCCUAGUGGGAGAAAAUGAGGUCACUGGGGACUGUGCUCUUGAAGGGGAUGCUGGGAGCCUGGCCCCUCCUCCCUCUCACUCUUUAUUUACUUCAGGGUUACCAUGCGGUGAACAGGCCUCUUCUGCCAUGCAUUCCAGUCAUAAAGUAUUAUGCUGACAGCCCCAAAGCAACAGGACCACCUAACUGUGAACUGCAAUGUCUGAAAUCUUUGCAAUGAAUAUAUCUUCAUACAGAUUUACUUUCACUAAAAUAACUGGCCAUUUCUGUUUCCUGAUGGACUGACUGCCAUCCAUGCUUCUCAUCCCAGCCUUUAGUCACUGCAAAUAAUAUUCAACCAUCACAGAGGAGGGAAGAGUGACAGCACACACUCCUGAAUCAUUUAGGGACCACUAAUUUUCGGGGAAAAAAUGGUUUUUUGAAAGAAACAGAAAGCAUUUGAUGGGUCUGGAGAACAGCUGAGAAGAAGGACAAGCACAAAUAACUCUGCAUGGAUUCCAUGGACUAACAUGUUCUGGAAACUGCUAUAAGGAAUAAAUUCUUCUGCGUAGGGUUUGUUUGCAUGUUAGCAGCUACUAGAAUGAUAAUUUAUAUAAUAUGCUGGACAGAAUAACAACAAUGAUCAGCCACUUUGCUUUUAUUUCUUCAAAGAACAUUGAGGUCCUACUGUGUACACAUAAGACAAAGUCCCUGCUGUCAAAAAAAAUAUUUUUAAAUCCAACUCUAAUAAAAAUAAGAAUAAAAAAGUGAGAGAACUGGCUAGGAAGGACAUUUUCCAAUGUUUCCUUCCAUUAACGAGGCACGUGGUAUGAAAGCGUUCUUUGAAGACAGUUAUUCAAAUGUACUUGUGUUUUUAAUGUCAUUUUAAUGUGAACAUAAUUCCUUUCUUUGUUUUUUGGUACCGCGGAUCUAACUCGUGACCUUGCGCUUGCGAGGCAGGUGCGGUGCCACUGAGCUAAACCCUCGGCCCCAUAAUUCCUUCCUUUAUUCUUCAAACCUUUUUUGGUGAAAAAUUCUACACGUACAUAAAUGUACAUUUAAAAGAAUUAUUAUAAAUAUCUAUGUAAGCACCAUUGGGGAUUAAGGUCAGAAACUACAAUGUCAAAGGCACUCUUCCUUAUAACCCUACCUGCCAGACCUAACCACGAUCCUAAUUUUAUAGUAAUCCCUAUUUGACUUUUUUUUGUUUUUUGCCCCCAUAGUGUUCUCCACUAAAUGUGCAUCUAUAAACAUAAUACGGUUUGAUUUAGCUUGUUUUUAAUUUUUAUAUACAAAAGCAUAUCGUAUGCAUUUUUCUGGAUUUCUGUUAUUGUUCCAUAUUUCAUUUUUGAGAUGUCUCCAUGUUGUUCCAGGUAGCUGAAUUCCAUUCCUCUUCACUGCUAUGUAAUACAAAGUAUAUAAAUACUGUUUGAUGAUCAGUUUUCU